rnacentral:lncRNA from 1 species
GUUGGAUUAAAUGAUCUCUUAGGUCUCUUUCCACUCUAAUCUAUUAUUCUGUGAUCCUAUAGUUGCUGGAGAAGGACUCAAUCUUUUAACUUUAAUGUUCAAACUGAAGAACGAAUCACAGCUCAAUCUACUCUAUAGAGGUGCCUUAAGUCUCCAAAAUGUUGAAGGGGCUGAAGAAAAUUAUUUUGACAACUAUGUGAAGGAUAAAUUGGAAGAGGAAGAUUCUGGAUGCAGAGAGACUAAUUAGGAGGACAUUACUCAUGUCCAGGUGAGAGGUGAUGAGGGUGGAUAUUCUGGAGGUGGACUCAAUUUGGCAG